AGUAAUAUAUAGAUAAUGUGCCUCUUAGUCUGGGAUAGCCAUUGGAAACGAUGAUUAAUACUAGAUACUCCUUCUAACUCUAAUGUUAGUUGGGAAAGUUUUUUCGCUAAGAGAUCAGUCUAUAUCCCAUCAGCUUGUUGGUAGUGUAAGAGACUACCAAGGCAAUGACGGGUAGCGGGUUUGAGAGGAUGAUCCGCCACACUGGUACUGAGACACGGACCAG
rnacentral:rRNA from 1 species